rnacentral:snRNA from 1 species
GCUCGCUUCGGCAGCCCAUGUACUAAAAUUGGAAUGACACAGAGAAGAUUAGCAUGGCCCCUUCAUAAGCCUGAUGUGCAAAUUCGUGAAGCAUUUCAUAUUUAA